GGUUAGUAACGCGUGGGAACAUACCCUUUGGUACGGAAUAGCCUCUGGAAACGGAGAGUAAUACCGUAUGAGCCCUUCGGGGGAAAGAUUUAUCGCCAAAGGAUUGGCCCGCGUUAGAUUAGGUAGUUGGUGGGGUAAUGGCCUACCAAGCCUACGAUCUAUAGCUGGUUUUAGAGGAUGAUCAGCAACACUGGGACUGAGACACGGCCCAGACUCCUACGGGAGGCAGCAGUGGGGAAUCUUGGACAAUGGGGGCAACCCUGAUCCAGCCAUGCCGCGUGAGUGAUGAAGGCCUUAGGGUCGUAAAGCUCUUUCGCCUGUGAAGAUAAUGACGGUAGCAGGUAAAGAAACCCCGGCUAACUCCGUGCCAGCAGCCGCGGUAAUACGGAGGGGGUUAGCGUUGUUCGGAAUUACUGGGCGUAAAGCGCACGUAGGCGGACUGGAAAGUAUGGGGUGAAAUCCCAGGGCUCAACCCUGGAACUGCCUCAUAAACUAUCAGUCUAGAGUUCGAGAGAGGUGAGUGGAAUUCCAAGUGUAGAGGUGAAAUUCG
rnacentral:rRNA from 1 species